AACGAACGCUGGCGGCAGGCCUAACACAUGCAAGUCGAGCGAGGACUUCGGCUUUAGCUGCUGACGGGUGGGUAACGGGUGGGAAUAUGGCUUUCUCUACGGAAUGUCCCUUGGCAACUGGGAGUAAUUACGUAUACGACCCAGUGUGGAAAGAUUUAUAGGAGAAGGAUCAGCCCGCGUUGGAGUAGGUAGUUGGUGGGGUAAUGGCCUACCAAGCCGACGACUCAUAGCUGGUUUGAGAGGAUGAUCAGCCACACUGGGACUGAGACACGGCCCAGACUCCUACGGGAGGACGCAGUGGGGAAUCUUAGACAAUGGGGGCAACGCGGAUCUAGCCAUGCCGCGUGAGUGAUGAAGGCCUUAGGGUUGUAAAGCUCUUUCAGCUGGGAAGAUAAUGACGGUACUAGCAGAAGAAGCCCCGGCUAACUCCGUG
rnacentral:rRNA from 1 species